AGAAUCAACGCUGGCGGCGUGCCUAACACAUGCAAGUCGAACGGGAAAGUGGAGCAAUCCAUGAGUAUAGUGGCGACCGGGUGAGUAACACGUGACUAACCUACCCUUGAGUGGGGGAUAACCUCGGGAAACCGGGGCUAAUACCGCAUAACAUCUUCGGGAUGAGAAGCUGAGGAUCAAAGGAGCAAUUCGCUUUCGGAGGGGGUCGCGGCUGAUUAGCUAGUUGGCGGGGUAACGCCCACCAAGGCUUUGAUCGGUA
rnacentral:rRNA from 1 species